AACCUGGGAAAGCAGGCCCGUAGGGCGUGGCCCAGGGGAGAAGCUAGGCGCUGGCUGGGACAAAGCCGAUUGGACACUAGUGGGAGUCGGAGUUUGCCUAAGAGGCUAAGUUGGGCUGUGGAAGAGCAAAACUAAGGAAGUGGGCGGGGCAAGGCAGGAAGUUGGAAACCUGAUGGCAGUAGAAGUCAGUGACAUAAAACGACCUCCCGAGUACUUGGAUUAAAGGUGUGCGCCACCACGCCCUGCAUAGAGCUGGAAUUCGAACCUAGAUAAUCUCCUUCCUGAACUUCAGGGGUUCUGAGACACAAGCUAACCAACCCCAAACUCAUUAUGUAGAUGAGGCGAGCCUUCAACUCCUGGCCCUCUUGACUCCACCUCUGGAGCUGUUGGACAGCACCUCGAUUGAGAUGAGUGGGCAACUGGCUUCGAGGGUGGCAGGGACUGUCACCUGGCAGGUGGGGCUCGGAAGAGAAUUGCUGCUGCGUCUACGGGCUUCAGUCCGCUACUGGAUGUAUACAAAAACGAAGUGGUCAAGCUCUUGGUGUCACCCACCUCAACUGAGAAGAGCUGCCAACAGAUGGCCACCUUAGGGACCAGGCUUCACAGGACCUGCCCUUUUGACACCAGGAAGGGCCUCGGUGGUACACAGAACCCACAGCAGCCCCCCCCCCCCCGCCACCACGUCCACCAAACAUGUAGUUUAAUAUUCAGUUAAACCCGCAACUCUGCCAAUGGAACUUUUUAAGAAAAUAUGCCUGUAUGGGAGUAUGUACAAACGCAUGCAGGCUCCCUUGAAAACCAGAAGAGGGUGUCAGAUCUGGCGCUGGGGGCUUGUGAGCCACUGCCUGACAUGGGGGCUGGGAACAGACCUGG